rnacentral:rRNA from 1 species
AGAGCGAACGCUGGCGGCAGGCCUAACACAUGCAAGUCGAACGGAUCCUUCGGGAUUAGUGGCGGACGGGUGAGUAACACGUGGGAACGUGCCCUUUGGUUCGGAACAACUCAGGGAAACUUGAGCUAAUACCGGAUAAGCCUUUCGAGGGAAAGAUUUAUCGCCAUUGGGGCGGCCCGCGUAGGAUUAGCUAGUUGGUGAGGUAAAAGCUCACCAAGGCGACGAUCCUUAGCUGGUCUGAGAGGAUGAUCAGCCACAUUGGGACUGAGACACGGCCCAAACUCCUACGGGAGGCAGCAGUGGGAAUCUGCGCAAGUGGGACGAAAGCCUAGACGCAAGCCAUCGCCGCGUAGAAUGAUGAAGGUCUUAGGAUUAGUAAAUUCUUACGACGGGACAUAAGUGACGGUACCGAGAACGACGCCCGG